rnacentral:rRNA from 1 species
UUUAAAGAGAGUUUGAUCCUGGCUCAGGACGAACGCUGGCGGCGUGCCUAAUACAUGCAAGUCGAACGAACGGAGGAAGAGCUUGCUCUUCCAAUGUUAGUGGCGGACGGGUGAGUAACACGUGGGCAACCUGCCUGUAAGUUGGGGAUAACUCCGGGAAACCGGGGCUAAUACCGA